GCGGUCGUGGUGUAGUAGUAACACUGCUCUCUGUGGAAGAGCCAUCGCGGGUGCAAAUCCCGUCGAUCGCC
rnacentral:tRNA from 1 species